rnacentral:rRNA from 1 species
GGGGAAUAUUGCACAAUGGGGGAAACCCUGAUGCAGCGACGCCGCGUGAGCGAAGAAGUAUUUCGGUAUGUAAAGCUCUAUCAGCAGGGAAGAAAAUGACGGUACCUGACUAAGAAGCCCCGGCUAACUACGUGCCAGCAGCCGCGGUAAUACGUAGGGGGCAAGCGUUAUCCGGAUUUACUGGGUGUAAAGGGAGCGUAGACGGAGCAGCAAGUCUGAUGUGAAAACCCGGGGCUCAACCCCGGGACUGCAUUGGAGACUGUUGAUCUGGAGUGCCGGAGAGGUAAGCGGAAUUCCUAGUGUAGCGGUGAAAUGCGUAGAUAUUAGGAGGAACACCAGUGGCGAAGGCGGCUUACUGGACGGUAACUGACGUUGAGGCUCGAAAGCGUGGGGAGCAAAC